UGGGGAAUAUUGGACAAUGGGCGCAAGCCUGAUCCAGCCAUUCCGCGUGCAUGACGAAGGCCUUCGGGUUGUAAACUGCUUUCGUACGGGACGAAAAGCCCUUCUCUAAUACAGAUGGGGCAUGACGGUACCGUAAGAAUAAGCACCGGCUAACUACGUGCCAGCAGCCGCGGUAAUACAGAGGGUGCAAGCGUUAAUCGGAAUUACUGGGCGUAAAGCGUGCGCAGGCGGUGAUGUAAGACAGAUGUGAAAUCCCUGGGCUCAACCUGGGAACUGCGUUUGUGACUGCAUCACUAGAGUACGGGAGAGGGAGGUGGAAUUCCCGGUGUAGCAGUGAAAUUCGUAGAUGUGCGGAGGAACACCGAUGGCGAAGGCAGCUCCCUGGCCCUGCACUGACGCUCAUGAAAGAAGGCGUGGGGAGCAAACA
rnacentral:rRNA from 1 species